AGGUGAAUAGUUUAAUUGGGAGAACGCAGAAGGCCGCCUUGAAUCUGAAGUGGUAGAUCGAAACUGCCUUCACCUA